rnacentral:rRNA from 1 species
UACGGAGGGUGCGAGCGUUAAUCGGAAUUACUGGGCGUAAAGCGCGCGUAGGCGGUUUGUUAAGUCAGCUGUGAAAGCCCCGGGCUCAACCUGGGAACUGCAGUUGAUACUGGCCGACUAGAGUACAAGAGGAGGUGAGAAUUCCAUGUGUAGCGGUGAAAUGCGUAGAUAUAUGGAGGAAUACCAGUGGCGAAGGCGGC